rnacentral:lncRNA from 1 species
AUCAAUUUCACUUUAUUAAAACUCAAAGUUUAAAUUUAAUUACUUUGACAUAUUGAAAAAUGAAAUAAAUCGGUAGCUAUGUAUAACUAUACACAUUCUUUCUGAGUAUAUGGAUCCAUAAAUAUAUUUAAUCUUGUUCUAAUUAUUUAAAAAUAGAAAUGACAUAUCUUCCUGUAGCUUCCUAAGGUAUAAGGUAAAUAGUUGAUUAGUCUACAGGUUAGCUGCAGUACUGUGUUUGAAUAGAAUAUGGGCAGAGAAUAAAGCACCUGAAUCAAAUGUCUGUAUGUUAAUGCAUACAUGUUAGGAAGGUGUUUAAGCUCUUGUUAUUAGUCAAUAAAUGCCAG